AAAAAAUGUAGAAAAGUUCAACUUCUAAUUUGCAUUUUGCCAUUUUGGAAUGCAAAUGUGUAAUGAAAAUGUGAGAGAACAGCAUCGUUAAUCUAAAACCUGGCAAUGUCGGGUCAGACGACCAAAAUAUCGUCAAAGAACUGAAAGAAGAUGGCGGGAGGUGGGCAAUAUCAUGUAUCAUAUCAGACCAUUGCAAGUCCGCAAUACGGUGAUGUUAAACUAUUCUGGGUAAAGAUUACAUUGCAAUAUGUUCGCUGUGUAAUGCUUGAAUAUUUUAAUUCCUAAAGUACGUAAUCAUUUUCAUAACUAGUCAAAGUUGAAGUUACCUUCGAAAUCAGUGUAGAGGGCUGGAGGCCUGGUAACUCAAUCGCUUUGAUAUUCGUGUACGUUUUUUUACAAGCAAACUGGUUAUAUACCUAGAUCCCUGUGCCAAAGCAUAUUUCUUUAAUUUCAUGUUCAAAGGGCUAUAUGAUGUAUACCAACAAUCCCAAAUGCCACAAAUAGUGCAUUGCCCACCAAACCGGAGAUGAUUUUGUUUGACUCAGCAAACUUUGGGUUUACGAAGUUAAACAAAGAAAUGAAAGUUCCGAGAGUGAUUGCCACUGACCCACUGUUCAUCUCAAGUUCAACAGCAGCUGCCAAAUGUUCCUGGGAUAACGAGCGCCUGUUUAGUGUAACUGAUUCGACAAUUACUUGCUUGGCCGUUUGCUUCGCAUCAGAGUGGUCCUAGUUCGCCCACCGUUAAUCCGGUUGAACAAAUCGAGCCGCAACCGGGAAAGUCUGGUGGUUAUUCCAUGGAAAUUAACUUGGAAUUGGAAUUCCGUGAAGUGCUGCCAAGUUUGGAUCGUGGACCAAAUCAUUCAUCGGGCUGAAGAAAAUCUUAUUUCUCUUGGAUGCGCAACAGCUCACAUGUCUCAUCCAGGAGCAACUUGCUUAUUGGUCCCCACUGGAAUCAAUCCCAUUGGAAUGGGAAUCCAGCAAAGAAAACCAUCAACCGAAUUUUCCAGUGUCGUACCAAAUUAGAUCGGUGCCCAUCUUCGACAUCGGGAGCCGCUGCUUCAGUCAAUCUACUAGACAGCUUCAACCCUUUCUUUCAAUCGGC